rnacentral:lncRNA from 1 species
UGGGGAUACGAGGGAACUCCCUGGGUUACUGUAGGUUAAAGUGUUGGGGUUGGACACUGGAACCGUAACCGACAUGGAGAAGUUCUGAGCAGGCAAGCCAGGUGCGAUUUUAUGAUUCCGCAUCAUAUUAUCAAACUCUUCAUUAAUUUUUUUAUAUUUUUCUUCUGUAUGUGGCGUGAGCACAUAUGAAGUGUCAGGGUCCGGGCUGUCGCACCCUCUGUGUUCCUUCUUGUUCAGAGCCUCAACGAUAUCUGAGUUGGUUCUGCUUUCAUGGGGCUCGUUGUAUUCUGUGUAUUUUAGUAGAACUUUGUCCAUAUCAGUGCUGGCAUACUGAAAGAGUUUGUUAGAGCUGUUAAAAAUGAUGAGUGCUAUUUCACAGUCACAGAGUACACUCAACUCAUACGCCUUCUUCAUUAAUCCAAACUUCCUCUUCGUAAAGGUGACCUGUCUGUUCCGUUCGUCCAUUAUUCUCGUGAUCUGUAUUUUCUUUCUCCCCAUUUUCAGUCUCUUCUUUCCCUUCCUUUGCAAUCCAGAAAUAUACUAAUCCAAGAAAUUUCACCCUUCGGUAUUUUAACACAUGAUACAGUCUUUUUUUACUUUGUCUUCAGCUUGAGAAAUGGUUCCUAUAUCUUCUUAUAAG